rnacentral:misc_RNA from 1 species
GACGAACCACCCAAACGUUGUUCGGAAUUACUGGGCGUAAAGCGCACGUAGGCGGAUCGUUAAGUGAGGGGUGAAAUCCCGGGGCUCAACCCCGGAACGGCCUUUCAUACUGGCGAUCUGGAGUUCGAGAGAGGUGAGUGGAAUUCCGAGUGUAGAGGUGAAAUUCGUAGAUAUUCGGAGGAACACCAGUGGCGAAGGCGGCUCACUGGCUCGAUACUGACGCUGAGGUGCGAAAGCGUGGGGAGCAAACAGG